GGAAAAUGUAGUGUAUAUUUUGAAACUUUACUGAAUAAUUCCUAAUCGUGGAGCUAAUUAUAUGUUGAAACUUCUGGGCUUAUAUUCUCCGUACUGAUUAUUCAUCAUUUCUUUGCUUCAUCCAAUAUUUCCGGUAAUUCGCAUGUUAUUUGUUAUACUUCCCAAUGUUGUUUAAAUCAUUUGAAAGUUCUAAUUUUGCUACUUUAUUCAGUUGUAUGUAUUGGUGUUGUUUGAUUGGUUGUGUGUCCCUUUGAUGAUCUUGCUUGGUGUAUUGUAGUGUUUUUUGUUUCUUGAUUCUCAAUGAAAAAUGAAAGCUUGACAAUUUUAUUUUCUCAAUUAGCUGUUAAGGUCAAGUUUGAUAUGAUAAACAUAGUUGAAUGUUAAUUAGCACUGUGGACAAGCACAUAACAAAAAUUACUCUUUUAAUUAAUCUGCAUUGGGUUAAUUAGCAAUAUGGGAAGAAGGAUCAAUUCUGAGGCUUUGGAAGAAAUUUCAAAAUGUGAACACAAAAGAAAAAUGUUGAAGUAGCUUGACUCUACAGUUUACUUUACUAAGGAGGUGUUAGAGUAGAGACAGAAAGGUGGGGUAAGUCAUAUAGUUGAAAGUUAAUUUUAUUUUGUGGUGGCAUGAGCCUUAAUCUUUCAUGUAUGUACAACCCUCACAUGCUCAUGGUGUGGCAUCUUUUAAUGGCAUCAUAAACAAGUAAGCACAAGCAUUGAAUUUUCUUGUGACUUAUUCCAAUUUUCCACAAAAUUCUUAGAUUGUUUCUUUUUUUAACCCCUGAUAGCAUGGACAAACUUGGUAAUUUGGAGCAAGUAAUGUUGAAAGUAAUGCUGAGUGGCUGAUAUAAUGAUCUCAAAACAAUGUUGCUCAACUCAAGGAAGAAAUGAAUUAUGAGGCAUGUCUUUGAGUAAGUUUUAAGUUUUGACUAGUAUUACUAUUAUUUUAUUAUAAGUUAUUGUUUAAACCCAUAAUUAUGCAUGAAGCAGUCCUGAACAUGUGGCAUUGCUUAUAAGCAGAAAGAAAUGGCCAUCUUUUUUUUUUUUUGAAUUUGUUUGGAUCAAAGUGAGAGAUUAGAGAUUUUGGCCAUAAUAUUAUAUAUAAACUACAUAUAGCAUAGACGUGCUUUGUUCUAAUUCUAAGUGCAAAUGCAAUGUUUAUUAGAAGGUUAUAAUUUUGUUAAUUCAAAGAUAAUGCCUCAUUAGUUUUGGUAUUCCGUUUAUUAUCUUGGUAUUAGUUUUUGUUGAAUAAAGAAACUAACUAUGAUGGCGAAAACAUUUAUGGUUUAGAGUUAUCUUAAUUCAUAUUGUUUAUUAUUUUAGUAUUAUCUUAAUUCAUAUUGUUUAUUUCUAUUUGACAACUCUUCCAUCUCUCUGGUUUGCCUGUAAUCCACAUAGAAAAGGAUUAACAUGAUCAAGCCAAAGAACAGAUCAAGAAGACAUGAUGUGAUGAAGAAAAUAUGUUCCAUACAAAUAUCACAUGGGAUAGUCUUACAAUGACCUUAGUUAUGUAAAUGUAAUAUUUUGUUGAUGUGUUAUGUACUUUGAGGUAGUAUUACAUGUAAUUGGAAAAAUUACACUCUAUUUUAAUUUGUGUUGUUUAGACUAAAAAUUAAACAUAUCUAUCUUAUAAUGAAACUUUUAUGAUUUA